UGUCUUGUCUCCGUGUGAUACAGUGAUUUCACUAGCUGGAUUGAUCACUUUGGGGACUGCAACUCCUAGAGAGAAAUGGAAUGGAGGGCAUCUGAAUCUUCACCCCCUAUAGAUAAGCUUGUGUUGCACCCCAAUUUUUGUGAGAUUUUAGCAUCGAAACUAGGAGAAAUAAGAAUGGCUGUAGAGGAACUUCAGUCUAUAAUAAAGAGAUGUCAAAUCCUAGAAGAGCAAGACUUUAAAGAAGAGGAUUUUGGCCUAUUUCAGUUAGCUGGGCAAAGAUGCAUAGAAGAAGGGCACACAGACCAGCUAUUAGAAAUUAUUCAAAAUGAAAAGAAUAAGGUCAUCAUCAAGAAUAUGGGCUGGAAUCUCGUUGGUCCUGUUGUUCGAUGCCUUUUGUGUAAAGAUAAAGAGGAUAGUAAAAGAAAAGUUUAUUUUUUGAUCUUUGAUUUAUUGGUAAAGUUAUGCAAUCCAAAGGAAUUAUUGUUGGGUUUGCUUGAACUGAUUGAAGAGCCCUCUGGAAAACAGAUAUCCCAAAGUAUUCUUCUUUUGCUUCAGCCAUUACAAACAGCAUACUUGAUGAGCGACAACUUGAUCUCUGUUUUAGUGAUUCAGAAACUUCAUAAUAAGGCAUAUUCAAUUGGAUUAGCAUUGUCUACCCUUUGGAAUCAGCUAUCUCUUCUUCCUGUUCCAUACUCAAAAGAACAAAUACAAAUGGAUGACUAUGGCCUUUGUCAGUGUUGCAAGGCCUUAAUAGAGUUCACUAAACCUUUUGUGGAAGAAGUCAUUGAUAACAAAGAAAACUCACUGGAAAAUGAAAAGUUAAAGGAUGAAUUACUGAAAUUUUGUUUCAAAAGCUUGAAAUGCCCUUUGCUGACAGCACAAUUCCUUGAACAGUCUGAAGAAGGUGGAAAUGAUCCUUUCAGGUAUUUUGCAUCAGAAAUAAUAGGUUUUUUAUCAGCAAUUGGACACCCUUUCCCCAAAAUGAUUUUUAAUCAUGGAAGGAAAAAGAGAACUUGGAAUUACCUUGAAUUUGAAGAAGAAGAAGAUAAACAGUUAGCAGACUCAAUGGCUUCUCUGGCAUAUCUAGUAUUUGUACAGGGCAUCCAUAUUGAUCAGCUUCCAAUGGUCUUAAGCCCAUUGUACCUUUUGCAGUUUAAUAUGGGGCACAUUGAAGUCUUUUUGCAAAGAACAGAAGAGUCUGUUAUCUCCAAAGGAUUGGAGCUGCUGGAGAAUAGUUUAUUGAGAAUAGAAGACAAUAGUCUACUUUACCAGUACUUAGAAAUCAAGAGUUUUCUUACUGUACCUCAGGGCUUAGUGAAAGUAAUGACACUUUGCCCCAUUGAGACGCUGAGGAAAAAGAGUUUAGCUAUGCUUCAGCUGUAUAUUAACAAGUUGGAUUCACAAGGCAAAUAUACAUUAUUUAGGUGCUUACUGAAUACAAGUAAUCACUCAGGUGUGGAGGCUUUUAUUAUUCAAAAUAUCAAAAAUCAAAUUGACAUGUCAUUAAAGAGAACACGUAACAACAAAUGGUUUACAGGACCACAGUUGAUUUCCCUUCUUGAUUUGGUACUUUUUCUCCCAGAGGGUGCAGAAACAGAUUUACUGCAAAACUCGGAUAGGAUUAUGGCUUCAUUAAAUUUAUUGAGGUAUUUGGUUAUCAAAGAUAAUGAAAAUGACAAUCAAGAAGAAAUUAUUCUGUUUUAUUCCUUUAUAGGAAGUCUUGACCUCAAGUAAUACUGGAUUAUGGACAGAACUUGGAAAUAUUGAGAAUAAUUUCUUAAAGCCACUUCAUAUAGGACUUAAUAUGUCAAAAGCACAUUAUGAAGCAGAAAUUAAAAAUAGCCAAGAGGCCCAGAAAUCUAAAGAUCUUUGUUCUAUAACUGUAGGUGGAGAAGAGAUCCCUAAUAUGCCUCCUGAAAUGCAGCUUAAGGUCCUGCAUUCAGCUCUUUUCACAUUUGAUUUGAUUGAAAGUGUUCUAGCUCGAGUGGAAGAACUCAUUGAAAUAAAAACAAAGUCUACCUCUGAAGAAAAUACUGGGAUAAAGUGAAAGUUCCAUUUCCUAAAUAAAAACUAAUAAAAUAUAGUACUUUCCAUUAUGAUUUAUUUAAUACCUUUAUAAAAAAUUUUUCUGUAAAAAUUUACUGCUUGAAAAAUAAAUGUAGCUUUUCUCAUUUA